GCUACGGGUGGCAGCAGUGGGGAAUAUUGCACAAUGGGGGAAACCCUGAUGCAGCGACGCCGCGUGAGUGAGGAAGGAGUUCGGUAUGUAAAGCUCUAUCAGCAGGGAAGAAAAUGACGGUACCUGACUAAGAAGCCCCGGCGAACGACGGGCCAGCAGCCGCGGUAAUACGGAGGGGGCAAGCGUUAUCCGGAUUUACUGGGGGUAAAGGGAGCGUAGCCGGUUACUCAAGUCAGAAGGGAAAACCCAGGGCUCAACCUUGGGACUGCUUUUGAAACUGAGUAGCUAGAGUGCAGGAUGGGUAAGCGGAAUUCCUAGUGUAGCGGUGAAAUGCGUAGAUAUUAGGCGGAACACCAGUGGCGAAGGCGGCUUACUGGACUGUACCUGACGUUGAGGCUCGACAGCGUGGGUAGCAAACAGGAUUAGAUACCCUGGUAGUC
rnacentral:rRNA from 1 species